rnacentral:rRNA from 1 species
CCUACGGGAGGCAGCAGUGAGGAAUAUUGGUCAAUGGGCGGGAGCCUGAACCAGCCAAGUCGCGUGAGGGAAGACGGUCCUAUGGAUUGUAAACCUCUUUAGGCGGGGAGCAAGGCCGGGCACGCGUGCCCGGAGGGAGAGUACCCGCAGAAGAAGCAUCGGCUAACUCCGUGCCAGCAGCCGCGGUAAUACGGAGGAUGCGAGCGUUAUCCGGAUUGAUUGGGGUUAAAGGGUGCGGAGGCGGAUUUUGCAGUCAGCGGUAAAAUGUCCGGGCUCAACCCGGGCCGGCCGUUGAAACUGGGGAUCUUGCGUGGGCGAGAAGUAUGCGGAAUGCGUGGUGUAGCGGUGAAAUGCAUAGAUAUCACGCAGAACUCCGAUUGCGAAGGCAGCAUACCGGCGCCCGACUGACGCUGAGGCACGAAAGCGUGGGGAUCGAACAGGAUUAGAUACCCUAGUAGUC